rnacentral:tRNA from 1 species
GCGGGGCUAGUUUAAUGGUAGAAUAGAAGUUUUCCAAACUUUUGGUGGGAGUUCGAUUCUCCCGCCCCGCA